rnacentral:rRNA from 1 species
CACUGUCACUCCUACGGGGAGGCAGCAGUGGGGGAAUAUUGCACAAUGGGCGCAAGCCUGAUGCAGCCAUGCCGCGUGUGUGAAGAAGGCCUUCGGGUUGUAAAGCACUUUCAGUCGUGAGGAAGGUGGUGUAGUUAAUAGCUGCAUCAUUUGACGUUAGCGACAGAAGAAAGCACCGGCUAACUCCGUGCCAGCAGCCGCGGUAAUACGGAGGGUGCGAGCGUUAAUCGGAAUUACUGGGCGUAAAGCGCAUGCAGGUGGUUUGUUAAGUCAGAUGUGAAAGACCCGGGGCUCAACCUCGGAAUAGCAUUUGAAACUGGCAGACUAGAGUACUGUAGAGGGGGGUAGGAAUUUCAGGUGUAGCGGUGAAAUGCGUAGAGAUCUGAAGGAAUACCGGUGGCGAAGGCGGCCCCCUCGGACAGAUACUGACACUCAGAUGCGAAAGCGUGGGGAGCAAACAGGAUUAGAUACCCUGGUAG